UUUCCGUAGGUGAACCUGCGGAAGGAUCAUUAUUGUAUAACCGAGGUGCGAGGGCUGUCGCUGACCCGAAAGGUCGUGCACGCCCGUGUGCCCUCACACACAUCCAUCUCACCCCUAUGUGCACCACCGCGUGGGUCCCCCUUUGGCUUGUUCGGAGGGGGGCUUACGUUUUCACACAAACUUUGUAUGCAGUGUAGAAUGUAUUUUUGUUUUUGCGAUCACGCAAUCAAUACAACUUUCAACAACGGAUCUCUUGGCUCUU
rnacentral:misc_RNA from 1 species